ensembl:piRNA 21ur-5227 ncRNA
UCUUUCGAGUACCAUAGGACG